rnacentral:lncRNA from 10 species
GGCGUGAACCCAGGAGGUGGAGGUUGCAGUGAGCAGAGAUCACGUCACUGCACUCCAGCCUGGGCGACAGAGCGAGACUCUAUCUCAAAAAGAAAAAAAGAAAAAAAAAACAGUUUUAAAAAUAUUUUUUAAAUUAUUAAUGGAUUUUCACUUUUUUUUUGAGCUUGCCAAAGAUUGCCUCAUUGUCUUGUGACAAUCAUCCACCUGGGACAAUGAGGUGAAGAUAAGAGACUAUUACAGUUUGUUACAAGGAAUGCAAAGCAAAUGAACAAAAUAUUCAGCUUUGACACUCGAAAACCAGACUUAUCCUAGCCUGGCUUGAAACUUGAAAUGAUUGUCUAAAUUCCUUUAUACUCCUUUCAACAUACCAAUAACUAGAGUUUUACUAAAAGGAGGGCUAAACUACUGAGGAAUGAGGUGGAGGAUGGAGUCAGGGAAGAAAGUCUUUUUCUGUCUGUCCUUGGACAAUUCCAAGAAAAAGAAGAAGAGAAAAGGGUUAGAGUGGGUUGACCAGAUGUACAUCCAGAAUUGUUUCUUUGUAGGUGCUGGGAAGUGUCUGAGAUUCUGGGAGGAGACUUCGUGCAAGGGUGCCAUGGCUAAUGUAGGGCAGCCAAGCUUAGGCAAGAGUGUUUGCUCAGGGUAUCCUGAUUCUCCUGGGGCACUCUCAGUUCCUGUGUAGUGUGGGUGCCCUUUGUGAUAGGAUGAGGUGACUACACAAGGGAGCGGUUCCCCAAGGGUCUUCAGCCAUUAAGAGCUGAGGAGAAGCAGAGACAAUGAGGGAAGCUGGUUGGUGCUCCCUGCAAGCACUCUCCAAGCAAAAAGAAAAGAAAAAAAUCACCGUUUCCCCAGGUGUAGACACAGCAUGAGAGGCCAGCAGCUGUUGUGAUUAGUGACUAGUACAGUGAUUAUCAACCAGUCGUCACCCCAGGACCAGCACAAAGCCUACCCUACCCCAAUGCCAUAAAGGCAUGAAAACCACUCCUGUCUUCUCCCUCAUACCCAGAUGCCAUCUUAGGGACGGAGUAGAUCAUACUAAGCUCUUAAACCAGUUUGGGGUUUAAUGUUUUUGUCUUGCUAAUCAGUGGGUAUGAGCUAAGGAGGAAGGCCAGACAUGUUAUAGAGCAAAUUGGGCAUAUUCUUUCCACUUCUGAGUUUUGUGAGCUACUAUUGUAGCAGCAACCCAAUACACACUUACUGAAGACUAGUCUACUUCCUGCCAAGCAGCUGGAGUGUGAGGUGCUCCAGAGCUCACUACAACAGACUGGGCAACAGAAGCUAAGUGUUUUCUCUGAGGCCUUAGCUGCUAUUUCCAUUAAACACUGGCCCAGAGAGUCUUCCUGAUGUCCCAAAGGGUGUGCAAUUCUUACACAGAGUCCAUGGUUUACUAACAAAAUAUCUCACUCAAUGUCUGAAGAGGCAGUGUUGGCAAUUUAGUUACUGGCAUCCACUUCCAAAAAGGCAGACACUGAAAAUUUUGUAAUGCAUUGCUCAAGAGGGCUUCCAUACAAGUAGAAAGGCAGAGAGGGUGGCAUGGGUGAGGCUGAGCAAGCAUAGCUGGACGAUAAUUUAGGUAGGAAAUUAAAAUGAGUCCCAGAGGAAAAACAGAUGUGCAGGCUGAACUGGGAUUUUAUGUGAUAAACUGAGUAUAGAAAACAACUGAAACUGACAUCACUGGCCCAGCUAGCAGUGGGGUGACCUCACCAAGGAUUAUAUUCAGUUUCAUAAUUGCUGUAAGACUAGUUUGGAAAUUUUAAGUUACUAACAUUAUAUCAAGUUCCUAUCUAUGGGAUUUGUUUAUCUCCUCAGUCAAAUAUCCUUAGUUUGAAAGAUAAAAUUUAUCCUUCCAAAAUCAAAAUUAUAAAUAUGUAUUUGUCUGGUCUAUGUAUGCAUUUGUUGUUUAAACGUGCAUGUGUGUGUUGUACUGAUAUACCAGCUGUACCAGGUGUACCUGAUACCAGAUGUACCAGGGUUUAGUCUGGUUUUAGAAUUGGUGCUAGUUGCUUUUUGGGUUCAGAUAGUUAGUAAAAAAGUACCAGUUCAGUUCAGAGUUAUAUGCAGGAAGUCAAGAGAAACACCCUAAUACUCAUUAUGUGAAUUAAGUGUAAACCAUCUCAGGAGGCUGCUAAGUCUCAUAAUAAUGCUACAGAAGAAAAAUGUUUUCCUUCUCCUUAAUAUAUUAACACAAGUUUUCUGGGUAUUACAGUCUGAGUGCUAUUUUAUCUAACCCUUAAAACGACCAGGACGGAGAGGGUGAGGAAGAACUGCCUGCCCAGUCCUCUUUUUCUUUUCUAAUCUUCAGACUUAUCUAGGUUUUUUACAAUUUUUAACCAGUUUUUACCUUUCUUCUCUUUAUUUCAG